rnacentral:rRNA from 1 species
AAUAGAUACCCAGGUAGUCCAUGCCGUAAACGUUGGGAACUAGAUGUGGGGACCAUUCCACGGUCUCCGUGUCGCAGCUAACGCAUUAAGUUCCCCGCCUGGGGAGUACGGCCGCAAGGCUAAAACUCAAAGGAAUUGACGGGGGCCCGCACAAGCGGCGGAGCAUGCGGAUUAAUUCGAUGCAACGCGAAGAACCUUACCAAGGCUUGACAUAUACCGGAAACGUCUGGAAACAGUCGCCCCGCAAGGUCGGUAUACAGGUGGUGCAUGGUUGUCGUCAGCUCGUGUCGUGAGAUGUUGGGUUAAGUCCCGCAACGAGCGCAACCCUCGUUCUAUGUUGCCAGCACGUGAUGGUGGGGACUCAUAGGAGACUGCCGGGGUCAACUCGGAGGAAGGUGGGGAUGAGGUCAAAUCAUCAUGCCCCUUAUGUCUUGGGCUUCACGCAUGCUACAAUGGCCGGUACAAAGGGCAGCAAUACCGUGAGGUGGAGCGAAUCCCAAAAAGCCGGUCUCAGUUCGGAUUGAGGUCUGCAACUCGA